AGAAUUGUGAUAAAUGUGUGGGGGUUUAUACUCUCUUUUUUUUUUUACAGUUAGGGGGCCAACGACUAUUUUAAAUAACUGUCGGAACACAAGUAAAAGCGCGCUUAUGUGAAAACACUUUACUAAAGCACGUUGACAUGAGAGCUUUUUACAUGUCAAAGGGGUAAAAAAAGCUGAGCUAGACGUGCUUUUUUAGUUUUCCCCUAGAAACGACUCUAGCUCAGUACAUUUUAAUAAAAUCAAGCCA
rnacentral:lncRNA from 1 species